CACGCGCCGCUACCAUGUGUGGGUCGGCGCCGAAACGGGCGCCCUCAAAGGCGUGGACCUGCGGCGGAAACAGGCGACGAACUUCACGAGCGGCGGGAGCCUGAACCGGGCCCAGGGCGUGUGCGCGCUCUGCUGGGGCGACGCCGCCGAGAACCAGGUCCUCGUGGGCUGCUUGGACCGGGCCGUGAGGGUCUUCAGCACCGAGAAGGGAACGUUCACCGGGACGCGGCUCUGCCCCGGCGGCAGCGGCACCUUCUGCGGCCUG